rnacentral:rRNA from 1 species
CAGUAGCCGCGGUAAUACGUAGGGUGCGAGCGUUAAUCGGAAUUACUGGGCGUAAAGCGUGCGCAGGCGGUUGUGUAAGACAGGUGUGAAAUCCCCGGGCUUAACCUGGGAACUGCGCUUGUGACUGCACAGCUAGAGCAUGGCAGAGGGGGGUGGAAUUCCACGUGUAGCGGUGAAAUGCGUAGAGAUGUGGAGGAACACCGAUGGCGAAGGCAGCCCCCUGGGCCAAUACUGACGCUCAUGCACGAAAGCGUGGGGAGCAAACAGGAUUAGAUACCCCGGUAGUCCCUGUCUCUUAUCA